rnacentral:rRNA from 1 species
CAGUCGCCGCGGUAAUACGAAGGGUGCAAGCGUUAAUCGGAAUUACUGGGCGUAAAGCGUGCGCAGGCGGUUGUGUAAGACAGGUGUGAAAUCCCCGGGCUUAACCUGGGAACUGCGCUUGUGACUGCACAGCUAGAGUAUGGCAGAGGGGGGUGGAAUUCCACGUGUAGCAGUGAAAUGCGUAGAGAUGUGGAGGAAUACCGAUGGCGAAGGCAGCCCCCUGGGCCAAUACUGACGCUCAUGCACGAAAGCGUGGGGAGCAAACAGGAUUAGAUACCCGAGUAGUCCCUGUCUCUUAUAC